rnacentral:rRNA from 1 species
UAAGGAAUAUUGGACAAUGGAGGCAACUCUGAUCCAGCCAUGCCGCGUGAAGGAAUAAGGCCCUAUGGGUUGUAAACUUCUUUUAGACGGGACAAAACCCCUUUACGUGUAAAGGGUUGAUGGUACUGUCAGAAUAAGCAUCGGCUAACUUCGUGCCAGCAGCCGCGGUAAUACGAAGGAUGCAAGCGUUAUCCGGAAUUAUUGGGGUUAAAGGUUGCGUAGGCGGACUAAUAAGUCAGUGGUGAAAGCCUGCAGCUUAACUGCAGAAUUGCCAUUGAUACUGUUAGUCUUGAGUACAGUUGAGGUAGGCGGAAUGUGUCAUGUAGCGGUGAAAUGCUUAGAUAUGACACAGAACACCGAUUGCGAAGGCAGCUUGCUAAGCUGUAACUGACGCUGAGGCACGAAAGCGUGGGGAGCAAACA